rnacentral:rRNA from 1 species
GACGAACGCUGGCGGCGUGCUUAACACAUGCAAGUCGAACGGAAAGGCCCUGCUUUUGUGGGGUGCUCGAGUGGCGAACGGGUGAGUAACACGUGAGUAACCUGCCCUUGACUUUGGGAUAACUUCAGGAAACUGGGGCUAAUACCGGAUAGGAGCUCCUGCUGCAUGGCGGGGGUUGGAAAGUUUCGGCGGUUGGGGAUGGACUCGCGGCUUAUCAGCUUGUUGGUGGGGUAGUGGCUUACCAAGGCUUUGACGGGUAGCCGGCCUGAGAGGGUGACCGGCCACAUUGGGACUGGGAUACGGCCCAGACUCCUACGGGAGGCAGCAGUGGGGAAUAUUGCACAAUGGGCGGAAGCCUGAUGCAGCAACGCCGCGUGCGGGAUGACGGCCUUCGGGUUGUAAACCGCUUUCGCCUGUGACGAAGCGUGAGUGACGGUAAUGGGUAAAGAAGCACCGGCUAACUACGU